GGGUUGUGAGGUUAAGCGACUAAGCGUACACGGUGGAUGCCCUGGCAGUCAGAGGCGAUGAAGGGCGUGCUAAUCUGCGAUAAGCGCCGGUAAGGUGAUAUGAACCGUUAUAACCGGCGAUACCCGAAUGGGGAAACCCAGUGUGACUCGUCACACUAUCAUUAACUGAAUCCAUAGGUUAAUGAGGCGAACCGGGGGAACUGAAACAUCUAAGUACCCCGAGGAAAAGAAAUCAACCGAGAUUCCCCCAGUAGCGGCGAGCGAACGGGGAGGAGCCCAGAGCCUGAAUCAGCAUGUGUGUUAGUGGAAGCGUCUGGAAAGGCGCGCGAUACAGGGUGACAGCCCCGUACACAAAAGCGCAUGUGCUGUGAGCUCGAUGAGUAGGGCGGGACACGUGGUAUCCUGUCUGAAUAUGGGGGGACCAUCCUCCAAGGCUAAAUACUCCUGACUGACCGAUAGUGAACCAGUACCGUGAGGGAAAGGCGAAAAGAACCCCGGCGAGGGGAGUGAAAAAGAACCUGAAACCGUGUACGUACAAGCAGUGGGAGCCCCACCACCAAAGCAUUCUCUGGUGUUGAAGGCCCUGCAAAGCAGCAUCGCGGUGGCGGAGCGUCGUUUGCGACGCCCAACACACAAAACAAGCGGUGAGUGCUUUGGGGUGGGGUGACUGCGUACCUUUUGUAUAAUGGGUCAGCGACUUAUAUUCUGUAGCAAGGUUAACCGAAUAGGGGAGCCGGAGGGAAACCGAGUCUUAAUUGGGCGUUAAGUUGCAGGGUAUAGACCCGAAACCCGGUGAUCUAGCCAUGGGCAGGUUGAAGGUUGGGUAACACUAACUGGAGGACCGAACCGACUAAUGUUGAAAAAUUAGCGGAUGACCUGUGGCUGGGGGUGAAAGGCCAAUCAAACCGGGAGAUAGCUGGUUCUCCCCGAAAGCUAUUUAGGUAGCGCCUCGUGAAUUCAUCUCCGGGGGUAGAGCACUGUUUCGGCUAGGGGGCCAUCCCGGCUUACCAACCCGAUGCAAACUGCGAAUACCGGAGAAUGUUAUCACGGGAGACACACGGCGGGUGCUAACGUCCGUCGUGAAGAGGGAAACAACCCAGACCGCCAGCUAAGGUCCCAAAGUCAUGGUUAAGUGGGAAACGAUGUGGGAAGGCCCAGACAGCCAGGAUGUUGGCUUAGAAGCAGCCAUCAUUUAAAGAAAGCGUAAUAGCUCACUGGUCGAGUCGGCCUGCGCGGAAGAUGUAACGGGGCUAAACCAUGCACCGAAGCUGCGGCAGCGACGCUGAUGCGUUGUUGGGUAGGGGAGCGUUCUGUAAGCCUGUGAAGGUGUGUCGUGAGGCAUGCUGGAGGUAUCAGAAGUGCGAAUGCUGACAUAAGUAACGAUAAAGCGGGUGAAAAGCCCGCUCGCCGGAAGACCAAGGGUUCCUGUCCAACGUUAAUCGGGGCAGGGUGAGUCGACCCCUAAGGCGAGGCCGAAAGGCGUAGUCGAUGGGAAACAGGUUAAUAUUCCCGUACUUGGUGUUACUGCGAAGGGGGGACGGAGAAGGCUAUGUUGGCCGGGCGACGGUUGUCCCGGUUUAAGCGUGUAGGCUGGUUUUCCAGGCAAAUCCGGAAAAUCAAGGCUGAGGCGUGACGACGAGGCACUACGGUGCUGAAGCAACAAAUGCCCUGCUUCCAGGAAAAGCCUCUAAGCAUCAGGUAACAUCAAAUCGUACCCCAAACCGACACAGGUGGUCAGGUAGAGAAUACCAAGGCGCUUGAGAGAACUCGGGUGAAGGAACUAGGCAAAAUGGUGCCGUAACUUCGGGAGAAGGCACGCUGACACGUAGGUGAAGUGAUUUACUCACGGAGCUGAAGUCAGUCGAAGAUACCAGCUGGCUGCAACUGUUUAUUAAAAACACAGCACUGUGCAAACACGAAAGUGGACGUAUACGGUGUGACGCCUGCCCGGUGCCGGAAGGUUAAUUGAUGGGGUCAGCGCAAGCGAAGCUCCUGAUCGAAGCCCCGGUAAACGGCGGCCGUAACUAUAACGGUCCUAAGGUAGCGAAAUUCCUUGUCGGGUAAGUUCCGACCUGCACGAAUGGCGUAAUGAUGGCCAGGCUGUCUCCACCCGAGACUCAGUGAAAUUGAACUCGCUGUGAAGAUGCAGUGUACCCGCGGCAAGACGGAAAGACCCCGUGAACCUUUACUAUAGCUUGACACUGAACAUUGAGCCUUGAUGUGUAGGAUAGGUGGGAGGCUUUGAAGUGUGGACGCCAGUCUGCAUGGAGCCGACCUUGAAAUACCACCCUUUAAUGUUUGAUGUUCUAACGUGGACCCGUAAUCCGGGUUGCGGACAGUGUCUGGUGGGUAGUUUGACUGGGGCGGUCUCCUCCUAAAGAGUAACGGAGGAGCACGAAGGUUGGCUAAUCCUGGUCGGACAUCAGGAGGUUAGUGCAAUGGCAUAAGCCAGCUUGACUGCGAGCGUGACGGCGCGAGCAGGUGCGAAAGCAGGUCAUAGUGAUCCGGUGGUUCUGAAUGGAAGGGCCAUCGCUCAACGGAUAAAAGGUACUCCGGGGAUAACAGGCUGAUACCGCCCAAGAGUUCAUAUCGACGGCGGUGUUUGGCACCUCGAUGUCGGCUCAUCACAUCCUGGGGCUGAAGUAGGUCCCAAGGGUAUGGCUGUUCGCCAUUUAAAGUGGUACGCGAGCUGGGUUUAGAACGUCGUGAGACAGUUCGGUCCCUAUCUGCCGUGGGCGCUGGAGAACUGAGGGGGGCUGCUCCUAGUACGAGAGGACCGGAGUGGACGCAUCACUGGUGUUCGGGUUGUCAUGCCAAUGGCACUGCCCGGUAGCUAAAUGCGGAAGAGAUAAGUGCUGAAAGCAUCUAAGCACGAAACUUGCCCCGAGAUGAGUUCUCCCUGAGACUUAAAGUCUCCUGAAGGAACGUUGAAGACGACGACGUUGAUAGGCCGGGUGUGUAAGCGCAGCGAUGCGUUGAGCUAACCGGUACUAAUGAACCGUGAGGCUUAACCUUACAACGCCGAAG
rnacentral:rRNA from 1 species